UUAUUUGCUGAGGUGGGGCCCACACAUCGAGAUUUUUUUGGGACAUCUGAAAAGUCAUAUGAAUCACAUAUGUGAAGUUAAACACAACUCAAGAAGGACCCUUGGGCCAAAUCAAAGUGGAAGUCCUCCAAACGAAUAUUUUUAAGAAAACGUUUUCGGGUGAUCUGACUUCUAGGGGCAAAAACGGUAUUAUAAGUUUGGAAUUUGGAAAAUACCAAGAAAUAGAAGUUGUAGAUAAUUGAAUUAGCUUUCCAACCAUAGGUCGUGGGUUCCCAGGUGACAUCGGUACAAGGAGAUAUGGACGUUUUAAGGUCGAAAGGUCAGUGGGCUAGGCCCAACUCGGGAUUAACCGAGUUGGCCCAAAAAAAAUGAAGAGAAAAAUCAGGCCCAAUAGGGGACAUCCGGCCAUGGUCCAUAAAAAGGACCCAAGCCCAAGUGAAUUAUCCAUGUGAUAAUUAAAUAAAAUGGACCAUUUAAUUGUCUUGAAACAUAUAGAAGUUUCAAGACAAAUUGAGAAAGAGUGAACAAAAGAAACAAGAGCAAAAGAACUAAAGGCCAUACGGCCAUGGAGAAAAAAAUUGACCCUUUGAAAUUUUAUCCCAAAAAUUAUUUUCUUGUGGUAUUUCUACUAAUUCAAGGGUCCUUUACAACUUGGUGUAAUUAUUUUGGAAGAAAGAACACUUGUUUCUUCAAGUUGACAACUUGGUCAAGUGAAGAAGAUUGUAGAAAAAGAUUUUGGCGAACUUGAAACUUGAUUUUGGAGACGUGUAUGAAUCGGAAAAGGUCAGCAGACAGGUGGACUUGAUCCUUAGGAGCUCUACCAGCGGUACUCUACAGUGCUCCAGUUGUUCCGGAGCCUCACUUCCGCGGUACUAUUUUGUGUAUGUAUAUUCGGGCACGGCAGUACCCGGCCCUUUCUAUGUAUAAGUGUACUAUGUCUAGAGGCUCGUAGACAGAUACGUACAGUCAGUCAGGUACAGAUAUAUGUAUAGUGUUUUGGCAUGUUAAUAUUGUUGUACAAGGUAAUAACGGAGUUUAUUAGUUUAUGUUCAAGGAAAAAAAAAUGGCUCGGUUUACACGGCUUGCUAAGAGGUACAGGUAAUACGAUAGAUAAGGGGUGCUCGGUACAAGUAUCGGGUACUCAUCACGGCCCCUAGUCGGGUCGUGACAUUUUAUUUCAAAAUAUU